UCGUAACAAGGUUUCCGUAGGUGAACCUGCGGAAGGAUCAUUAUCGAACGGAGGGCAGAGGGACUGUCGCUGGCGUCUUCUCGCAUGUGCACGUCCUUCUGCUUUUUUUACUCUAUACACACCCGUGCACUUUUUGUAGAUCCCCCCUCGAAAGAGAGAGGGAUCUAUGUCUUUAUCAUAUCAUCUCACAUGUAUGGCCAGAAUGAAAACAUAAUAAAAUACAACUUUCAGCAAUGGAUCUCUUGGUUCUCGCAUCGAUGAAGAACGCAGCGAAUUGCGAUAAGUAAUGUGAAUUGCAGAUUUCCAGUGAAUCAUCGAAUCUUUGAACGCACCUUGCGCUCCUUGGUAUUCCGAGGAGCAUGCCUGUUUGAGUGUCAUUUGAAUCAAUCAACCAUGCUUUCGAGCAUGGCUUGGAGUUGGGGGUUGCUGGCGUUCGCCGUCAGCUCUCCUUAAACGCAUUAGCGAUCGAGUCGGGCUAGUCUUUUGACGUGCACGGCCUUGGACGUGAUAAUGAUCGUCCGGGCUGGAGCGUCGGGUUGGCAUGACAUAGAUCGCUUCCUAACGAAAAAGAUGGGGGAAGGCAAAGGCAAAGUGAUCGGUCCGUGGAGCUUAGCUACUAGGCAGUCUUGAGAGAGGCUGGCGAAAACGAGCGAGACGGAACGAGAUCAGGGCUUGAGCUUUCUUUCUUCUUGGACUCUUGACCUCAAAUCAGGUAGGACUACCCGCUGAACUUAAGCAUAUCAUA
rnacentral:rRNA from 1 species